AAGUCGUAACAAGGUUUCCGUAGGUGAACCUGCGGAAGGAUCAUUAUCAUCCUAUUUUUUUAUGGUGUAGUGAUACUCUCACUUAUCCAUAAAAAUAUAAACCAAACUGUGAACUGUUCUUUGCCUCCAGUGAACCAUUAUGGAGUGCUUUGUAUGGCUGUUCUGAUCUACACAUCGACAAGCGAAAACUUUAUUGAAAGUUGGUUUUAUUUCGUUUGACGGUGUUUUCAGUUCAGCUGUCUGAGUGCUUCGGUCCAUUGGUUGUAUUUUCAAAAACCUCUUUCAUAUUUACUAUUGAAACAAUCCAAUUCAUAACAAUGAACUGAAUUAUUUCUUUUCCAUCUUCAUUUAUUUGGAAAUGGAAGAAAUACCAAAAAUAGUAAUGAAAAAAAAUAAAACAACUCUUAGCAACGGAUAUCUAGGUUCUC
rnacentral:misc_RNA from 1 species